GAGGGUAUAGUUCAGUGGUAGAGUGCGUGCUUAGCAUGCACGAGGUCCUGGAAUCAAUCCCCAGUACUUCCA
rnacentral:tRNA from 1 species